rnacentral:rRNA from 1 species
UACGGAGGAUGCGAGCGUUAUCCGGAUUUAUUGGGUUUAAAGGGUGUGUAGGCGGCUUAGUAAGUCAGCGGUGAAAUUUUGCAGCUUAACUGUAACAGUGCCGUUGAUACUGCCAGGCUAGGAUUUGGUUGCUGUGGGUGGAAUGUGUGGUGUAGCGGUGAAAUGCUUAGAUAUCACACAGAAUAUCGAUUGCGAAGGCAGCUCACAAAGCCAAGAUUGACGCUGAGGCACGAAAGUGUGGGGAUCAAACAGGA